UUCUGUGCUAUUUUUCAAUGUGAGUCAGUGAGUGACCGGUGACUGGCUGCUGCAGCCAAUGAUGCGAUUCACAUACGUAUUUACCAUAGACUGUAUAUAAUGGUAUUUACGCAGCUAAUCAACGUCAGGCGUCCUUAUGUGCAGCCAUCGUUGUUCUCAUAGAUAUGAAUGAGUAGAUAGGACACGCCCCUUUGAGCUGCGUGCUACGGCGAGGCUAAGCUAGUGGGGGCAAAGUUUCAGUGCAUUCAGUUGAUGUAGACAGCGUGAAAACGGAAACAAGUAUGCCGUCUCACUGUGCUGCAUACAAUUACACACUAUGUCGUACGAUUGAGACAAGGAAACUUGGAAUGACUUUUCAUAGGUAAGAAUAGUUUUUGGCUCUUUUUUCAUUAUGAAAUCUUGUUGAGAGCUUCCAGUCUAUGAGAGCUAACGAGUUAGCCACUAGCAAAACGCUAAGGCGAGCUAGCAGCUUGACAACCAAAUACCAGACGAUUAAUAGUAGCUGUAGUAUAGUUGUACAAGCAGUAGUAGUAAUACUAAAAGUACAAGCAGCAGUAGUAGUAUAAACAGCUGUUAGAGUCGUAGAAGUAGUAUCAGCAUUUGUAAUAGUAUUACAAGUUGUAGUAGCAGUGCCAGUAUCAGCAGCAGUAGUUCUGUGUACUACCACUACUACUAGUAGUAGUCACAUUGCUAUUACUACCACCAAUACUACCAAUAGUAGUUAUAAAGCCUAACUCAUGUAUAUCCAGAUUACCAUCUAUGUUCUUCCUCCAAACCCAUUUUUUGAUUGGGAUUACAGGCAGUUCUUUAGGACUGCUCUCAAAUAAUUGAAAUGUUACUAAAAAAGGUUAUACUUAUCAAAUUAAAUAGCUCUGGUCUCCAGUAUAUUGGCGAAUUCGGUUCUUUGUACUUAAUUUAUUAGCAUGAUUUCUUUUUAAUAUGUUGUGUACAGACUUAAUUACUUCUCUGUCUACUUUUCUUACUCCAUGUAGGUUUCCCAGAGACUAUGGGUUGAGGAGGAAUUGGAAGUUUGUCGGCUUAGACCUGGUGUCAUUCCAUCAGUGUUAACUUCCCGGCUCAUCUUGGAAGAGUACGUGCCAGAAAGACCACGACCAAGCAGCCUUGAGAUCUUAGACAGCGUCUCCCUGAGGUCCCUCUCUAUCUCCCCACACAUCCACCAACCACUGGAACACAUCUCCAAAGUUCUGCCGGGCCAGCUCAGCUUCCCCUCAGAAGAAGUUCCACUAGAUGAAGGAGCCUUUUGAGAGGCAGCUGGCAUCAUGAUUGGACUGUACUUUGGUCUGUUCCAGUCCAGCUUCAGCUCCAGAGACGGCAGGCGGGACGAGUCAACGGAGGCCGGGUGGACGAAGGCAUGCAGCUGAGUACAAUCCAGAAAACAACAGAGGAGGAGUGCAGCAGCCCAGGGCCAGAACAGAGUAACAUAACCAAAGAACUACAGACUCUUCACAACCUGCUCAAACUCUUGGUACAAGACCUCACCACACGGGUCAAGAAGGUUUCCAUCUCAUUUCUACUCUGAAGCUCACCUUCUCCUGCUCAAACUGCUGACAAAUGUUUCUGCUGCUCUAAAGUCUGGUCUCCAGAACUUCCUAAAAACUCUCAGAGUCUCUUCUGCUGCAGGUUGCUUUGUAGAACUGUUACAGAAAACCUCACUAAACCACAUGGAGGGGCCUCAAGAUAGUCGUCCAAAUGAAACCGUACAAAAACCAAACUAGCACAACCCAAACGCUAAAGUCUCCUGCAGCCUACCAGAGAACCUCUGAGAACAGAGAAUCAGGACAGGAACUCUUACCUUCUGGACAACCAACAUUGCUUCACAAACAAGAAUACAGGAUGUGUCUGACCAAAAAUCUCUGAAGACUCACUACAGCCAAGAUAAAGACACAACUCAGCUGCACCAAAUCCACUAAUCACUGCACCCAUUAGCACCAUGUGCUAACUGUGGCUAAAGAACCACAUUUACCAAGACAACUAUCCAGUACAAAGCCCUAAAACACACCAAGAAACACAUUAAAGACGAUUUUACUGCUGGAAGCUGCAAGCCAACGCCUAAGGAACAAA